UAUACAUGCAGUCGAGCGGACAGAUGGGAGCUUGCUCCCUGAUGUUAGCGGCGGACGGGUGAGUAACACGUGGGUAACCUGCCUGUAAGACUGGGAUAACUCCGGGAAACCGGGGCUAAUACCGGAUGGUUGUUUGAACCGCAUGGUUCAAACAUAAAAGGUGGCUUCGGCUACCACUUACAGAUGGACCCGCGGCGCAUUAGCUAGUUGGUGAGGUAACGGCUCACCAAGGCGACGAUGCGUAGCCCACCUGAGAGGGUGAUCGGCCACACUGGGACUGAAACACGGCCCAAACUCCUACGGGAGGCAGCAGUAGGGAAUCUUCCGCAAUGGACGAAAGUCUGACGGAACAACGCCGCGUGAGUGAUGAAGGUUUUCGGAUCGUAAAGCUCUGUUGUUAGGGAAGAACAAGUACCGUUCGAAUAGGGCGGCACCUUGACGGUACCUAACCAGAAAGCCACGGCUAACUACGUGGAGCAACCCGCAA
rnacentral:rRNA from 1 species